GAUGAACGCUGGCGGCGUGCCUAAUACAUGCAAGUCGAGCGAACGGACGAGAAGCUUGCUUGUCUGAUGUUAGCGGCGGACGGGGGAGUAACACGUGGAUAAGCUACCUAUAAGACUGGGAUAACUUCGGGAAACCGGCGCUAAUACCGGAUAAUAUUUUGAACCGCAUGGUUCAAAAGUGAAAGACGGUCUUGCUGUCACUUAUAGAUGGAUCCGCGCUGCAUUAGGUAGUUGGUAAGGUAACGGCUUACCAAGGCAACGAGGCAAAGCCGACACGAGAGGGAGAUCGAGCACCCGGGAUCUGAGAAACAGCAGCGACUCCUACGCGAGGACGCAGUAGGGAAUCUUCCGCGAUGGAGGAGUGCCUGAUGGAGCAACGCCGCGUGAGUGAUGAAGCUGCUCGGCUCGGAAAGCGCUGUAAUUAGGGGAGAACAUAUGUGUAAUUAACUGUGACGAUAUUGACGGUACCGAAGCAAUAAGCCCCGGCUAACUACGUG
rnacentral:rRNA from 1 species